GUAAUGCCUCCUAUUUCAUUAUGUUGGCUCACGCUGUCAGGGGCAGAUGGUGGUAUGGCAGCAAAGGUUGAACCUUCCCACCAACAUUCCCUUAUAUGUUGUUGCCGUGAGACAGAUGGCAGCAGAGGGGCAGUCUGACGCAAUAACAUCUGACAUGGGAGUGCAGAUGAAGCAAAGGUGUGUCACUGAAUUCCUCCACUUGGAAAAAAAAGGCCCCCACUGACCUUCUCUGACCAUCACUGACACUUGAACAUUUCUGGAGACCAAACAGUGGGUGUGAGCUCAGCGAGGCAGUGGGUGGUGCAUUUCAGCACUGGUGACAGCAACAGUGGUCACCUCCAUAAGUGGAGAUUAUGACACAUGCGGCAUUCUUGUUUAUUGAUGAUGAAAAUGCACAGCUAAUCGUAGUGCCUGUGUUGAAAAAUACUGGUUUUUAGCCAAGAAUUUUCUCUGUCAAAUAGUGCUAUUGUGCUCCUUGUAUCUGUUGUAGUUUCCAUGGAAAUAAACAGGAGAUACUAUUUUCAGAGUGUCCCACAUAAUAAGAGUGAUAAGAAGUAUGGUUAUCAUAGAGCCAGAUGUGGAAAGGCACUAUAUAGCACCAAUUUACAGUUCUGAAUUUGAUUUUUGUGCCAGUAUUGGCACUGUGUCCGUUAAACUGAUUUUCUCUUUUCUCAGCUGCUUUGAAAUGAGCUAUAUCAACCGUGAGACAGUACAGUGAAGGACAGGCACAAUGACCAAAGGCUUUAGCAAACAAGUAAAGCCACAGAUUUCCUUAAGCCAACAUAGGAUGCUGUGAAGCUGCUGAAGCUCUGCAAGUAAGAAGGAAAAGAGACCUUUGGGUUCGACUCUUUUCUGCCCCCAGCUGUGGAGGACGGGAUCCUUUCAAGAUUCCAGGAUGAACCAGGAGACCUGAACCUCUAGCAGCAGGAGUGAAGGAAGUGUCCUUUGCAGUAGAGAUCUGAGGCUGAGAGAGGACAUGGGCUGUGUGAGACUGGCACUACUCAGAGUAGCCAGAAUCUCUACUAGUGCAAGCCAGUGUGAUUCUAGAGAAGGCUGAAGUGACUACAGUGACGUCAGGAGUGAAAGAGAGUCGUAACUACAUGUUUGUAAAUGCAGGGUUGAUUCUCCUGGGCAUACAAAGGAGGGAAAGGGAAACUACAGAACAGAAAACUGCUGUGUUGAAGUUGCUUUAGUCUACCUGCAAGAAGGGCAGUUUGGUCACGGAGGAUUACGACAAUAUUAUAGACUGUAUAACCCUGGGCUUCAUGAAGCAUGGAUUGUGGGGAGAGUUAUAUUGAUCAAAAUGGAAAGAACACUGGAAAGAAUAACAAUAGAUUGGAACAAUUGUGCAGAGACAAAUAUCCUUCUCAGUCACUGGCUUUGUAAUCAGCUUGUUUCAGAAAGCUAAUCAAAGAAAUCAAGUACAUGGAUCAUGAAAGGAUGACUGAGGAGGGUGAGAAGCCUUUUG
ensembl:lncRNA